UACAGAGGUCUCAAGCGUUGUUCGGAUUUAUUGGGCGUAAAGGGUGCGCAGGCGGCAGGGUAAGUCUGGUGUGAAAUCUUGGAGCUUAACUCCAAAAUUGCACUGGAUACUGCUCUGCUAGAGGACUGGAGAGGAGAUUGGAAUUCACGGUGUAGCAGUGAAAUGCGUAGAUAUCGUGAGGAAGACCAGUGGCGAAGGCGAAUCUCUGGACAGUUCCUGACGCUCAUGCACGAAGGCCAGGGGAGCAAACGGG
rnacentral:rRNA from 1 species